AUUACCGCGGCUGCUGGCACGUAGUUAGCCGGGGCUUCUUAGUCAGGUACCGUCAUCUUCUUCCCUGCUGAUAGAGCUUUACAUACCGAAGUACUUCUUCACCCACGCGGCGUCGCUGCAUCAGGGUUUCCCCCAUUGUGCAAUAUUCCCCACUGCUGCCUCCCGUAGG
rnacentral:rRNA from 1 species